rnacentral:rRNA from 1 species
CUACGUAUGGGGCGAGCGUUAUCCGGAAUUAUUGGGCGUAAAGAGUACGUAGGUGGUUUUUUAAGCGGGAGGUUUAAGGCUACGGCUUAACCGUAGUUCGCCUCUCGAACUGGAAGACUUGAGUGCAGGAGAGGAAAGCGGAAUUCCUAGUGUAGCGGUGAAAUGCGUAGAUAUUAGGAGGAACACCGGUGGCGAAGGCGGCUUUCUGGACUGUAACUGACACUGAGGUACGAAAGCGUGGGGAGCAAACAGGAUUAGAUACCCUGGUAGUCCACACUGUAAACGAUGGAUACUAGGUGUGCGGGGACUGACCCCCUGCGUGCCGGCGUUAACACAAUAAGUAUCCCACCUGGGGAGUACGGUCGCAAGAUUAAAACUCAAAUGAAUUGACGGGG